AUGAGUCUCUCCGGGGACGAGGAGCCCCGGCCCUCGGGCGCGGGGUGGUCUUCCCCCGCCGCCGGCCCCCCGCCCGGAGCCUGCCACGGCCGCGGCCGGCGACGGCCCCGGCCCUGCCCCGCCGCGCCCGCCCCCGGGGGCUGCCCGUCGACGUGGGGCCGCCCCGGCUGCCCCCACUGGGGACCUUGCGGGCCCUGGGCCGGCCCCGUGCGGGUGGAGGUGGUGUGGCUGGGCGGGCCGGGCCCGUCCUGCCCCUGCCGCUGCCCCUGCGGGGCCGAGAAGCUGGGCGGCGGGGGGCUGCCCAAGAGGAGGAGGAGGAAGUGGCGCUGGGCGGGGGGCGGCGGGGUCCGGCGGCGGGCCCCGGGCCUCAGCGCUCCGCGCAACACCACCCAGUUCAUCAUGAAUCAGGUCUACGAGGACAUGCGCAGACGGGAGCGGCUGCAGCGCCGGCGGCCCCGCACGCCCCCUGCCGGCCUCGAGGCCUAUCUGCACGGCGACCCGCCGCGGGACAGCGCCGCCCUGCCGGCCUUCCCCGGAACUCCCCGGCCCGCGGGGCCUCGCACGCCCCCUGCCGGCCUCGAGCCGUAUCCCCACCCUGCUGGCCUGGUGACGGAGAGCGCCGCCCUGCCGGCCUUCCCCGGAACUCCCCGGCCUCGCACGCCCCCUGCCGGCCUCGAGCCCUACCUGCAGUGCGCCGGCGGCCCGGCGCGGGAGAGCGCCGCCCUGCCGGCCUUCCCCGGAACUCCCCGGCCUCGCACGCCCCCUGCCGGCCUCGAGCCGUAUCCCCGCGGCGGCCCGGCGACGGAGAGCGCCGCCCUGCCGGCCUUCCCCGGAACUCCCCGCCGCCUCGCCGCCAGCCCCGCCCCGGCGGAGAAGAUGGUAACCGUCCCCGCGGGUGACGACCGGCAGCGGUCGCAGCAGCAGCAGCACGCCGGGGGCGACCCGGGGGACGAGGAGGAGAGCGGGGACGGAGAGGACGACGAGGACGACGAGGUGGAGGACGACGAGGUGGAGGACGACGAGGUGGAGGACGACGAGGUCGAGGACGACGAGGAGGAGGAGGAGGACGUGGAAGGAGAGGAGGGAAAGGAGGCGGUGAAGAGGGAAGCCGGCGGAGGCGACGACGGGGACUGGGCCGAGGAGGCCGAGGCGCGGCAGGGCGCCGACGUGGAAAGAGAAGAGGACGGUCAGCGAGGGAGGGGACGGCAGCGGCGUGGAGAAGAGGACCACAGGUUGCCCCGGAGCCCUCGCGCGGCCACGGAGAAGAAGGCCUGGAGGGAGGAGAUCUGCGCCCUCGGACCCCCGUCGCCCCAAUUCUACCGCAGACGGUGCGUGGGCGCCGGGAGAGUCGCCGUCUGA
rnacentral:lncRNA from 1 species